AUCAAGGGGAAGAGAAAAAGGUUAGAUUCGGUCUUCCAGAAAUCUUACAGUCAACAAAAUUACUCAAAUACAUUGUUUUCUGAGGACAGGAACUGAAAGGAACCAAAUGCUGACAGCUGCUGCUGAAAUUAAUGAAAGUUCAAAUCUCAGCAUAUUUUGCUGCUCCUUUCCCUGUUGCCUACAGAUGUCAUCACCCAAUGGCUCCCAGGCAACAGCACCCUGCCAGUUUUUCUUGGGAAGAAUUAAAUUGGAGUAAGAGAAGAAGACUUAUUUCCAGUGAAAACAUCUAGCAUGUUGCUGACUGAAACCAGCUGGGGAUUUAUUCUUCAUUUUAACUCCUCUGUGUAAGAAAACUGGAAGAAAAGAUAUUUUUAUGACUGUGGAAGAGCAAUCUAGUAUCAGGCAGAAGAGUUUUAUGGUGAAGAAUUCAUCUUGAAGAUGUGACUGCCGGGAGGGCGUUCCAUGCUGCUGAAGCCAGGAAGCAAAGACCUGGUCUUCAGGCUAGUCGAUAUUCAGAUUUUAAAGCAGUGUGAUGCUGGGCAUUGUCACAGUCAUGUUAAGGUGAAUAUUUAUGUGUUGCUGGUUUUUAAACAUUUAGGUGUUGCAGCUGUGAUUUCUCCAGUGCUCCCAGUAUCUGUGAGACCUUUCAGGCACAGGAAAGAGGUGACUAACUAUUGCCGCUGGCAGGUUACUUGGGGUAAAAAUGAACAUUCAUGUAACACUUAGCAAUAUGACUAGACUCCAAGGGAGCAGUUUUUCCAUUCAAUUCCUCCAUCCUGAUGCUGUCAUUCAGUGUCUGUAUGCACUGCUACUCCACCACAGUCUUUUUGAGAAACCUGGAAAUAGGGGAGGAAGGAAAGGCAUGGGUGAAGACUAAAUAGGGAAGAAGUCAGCUAUUAUUUUGGGGCCCAUGCAAAGUGAAAACAGAGAGAUGGUAGUGGUACUCCAAAGAUAUCCUUCCUUCCCUCAGGUACUGUGAUGGUGAAAGGACAACUACAGCAGAUUGGGAGUGUGGAAACCCCAUAUUUCCCAGGGGAUGAUCUACAGUGACCAAUGCUUCAAGUGAGGUGUCCCUAUGCGCUACCUUUAGUAGUGUGUUGUAUGGAAUAAUUUAUAAAGUAAAAAGACAAUACAAAGAGAAAGAAGUCACCAGGUAAUCCAAUAUUAGCAGCCUGCUGAGUCUUCCGAGAAAAACAGUCUUUUUUAAAAAUUUAUUUUUUAAUUAAAAAAAAAAAAAAUACUAGUGCAUUACAUCAGUUCAGCUGUAGCUUUGAGGAACUUCUGCCAAACCCAAGGCGGGGUUCCAAUCUGUCCUGACACCUCAGUCACUGAGAGAAUUCCUCACAUAUCUUCUAUCAGACAUAUUAUUAAUAUUAUUAUUAUUUUUGUUAGAAUUUUCUUGGCUCAAUUUGAAAAAUGAGUGUGUGUGGGCAGGAACUUCUUCUGAACCAGAAGCUUUGCUUUACAGCCAGACUCCUGCCCUGCCCAGCCAGCCAUGAGACAUCUGCCUGUUAGUAUGCCAGCACAGUGGGACAACAUCUAUGCAUGACACAGACAUUGGUCUCCUUCCCACAACAGAGAUGGAUAAACUGAGACGUACACAUGAAGUGACUCACUCACAGAAUGAAUUGAUGGUAGAGAUGGGUCUUGAAACUAAGUGCUGGUCUUUCUAUUCUUUUGCCCAAAAUAUAAGGUCCCAAUCCAUCAUGGCAUCAGCUCAACAGCACCAAUGUUAUCUACCAAGAAGAGAAAUAACCUUACUCAAGAGGCUAAGUAGUACCCACAUAAUUAGGAGCACAGAAGGGGAGGAAAAAAAAAAUUCAAAACCAGACUACUGGGCAUCUGAGUAUCAUUAUUUGUGAUGACUUCAGCUGUCCCCUCAGCUGAUGCUUUUCUUGCAGUAACAGUUUGGAUGACAGAAUCUCACCAAGCCUCACAGGUAAAGAGGCCAGGAUCAACCUUGUGUAGCUAGUGCUACUCUGGAGAUGUGAGUUAGAAGGGACCUUGAUGCAUCUUACUGUUGUCAUUCUGCCCCAGAGCUCCCUAGUUACCUUGAGCUAGCUGUGUGAGUUCAUAUUCACAAUAGCACUUAGAUGCUGAACUGAUAAUUUAGACCAACAUUUAAAUAACAAAAAUUUGAAUUCUACUCAUGCAGCUUUGCAGAUACCUGAAUUGCUUGUGUGCCUAACCUUCCCUUGUGAAGUUUCUUAAAUGCUUAUAUCACUGUAACUAUCUAGAAAACAAGUAACAGCUUGGAUUUUAUUUCAUAUUUCAAACAAAAUAUUGAAACUUGUCUUAAUAUUUACAAAAGUAUCUGACUGCAAAUACCCCUUCUCAAAUCCCAUGCUGCAAAUUUCAGCUUUUUUUCUUCAUAAUCAGGAAGCAGAUGGGUCACAUCUUUUACUCUUUGACUUUACUGUUCAAGAAGUCACCCACUUUAUAAUGUAUCUUGGUUCAAAGUCUUUCUCUGCCUGGGAAGAUGAGAAUACAUACCAUAGAAGAGAACUCUAAGCCCUAAAUUGCAGGAUCUUCUGGGAUGGAGCUUUUCAGCUCCAUUGCUGAAUCCAUUUCCAUGGGCAGGAAGUAAUAAAAUAUUCAUUCUUGCAAAGAGAAUGAACAUGAAGGUGACUCUUUUGCCAUGAUCAUAGGCCCACACAGGAGAUGCAGGUCUUACUACGUACUCUGAUAUCCAUUUUUUAAUUUAGAAACAGCAUUCAUUCCAUUAACAGAAUAACAUUAUAGACACCUGAUGCAUAGGGGAGAUGAAAGAUCAAGUUGCCUCAGGAAGAAGAGGUAUUUGAAUGGUAUUUGAAUACAGGUUCUUGGAUCCCAGUUGUGUACACUAACUAAUUAACUGAAAAGAGAUCCUUCUCCUACUUCAGAUACAAAAAGUCAGGAGAGAAUUCAUGUUUAUGAACCUGAACAGAGACAAACAACUUCCACUAGCUUGAAGCUUGAAAGGGAUACAAAAUUUAAUAUGCCCCUUUCUGCUUGGUAUUUCCUCUUGACUAGCAUAGAUCGUUUCUGUUUUUCAGCCUGGAUUAUGUGAACCAUUCUCAGACAUCAGACUCUCACCCCAGGCACUAUACUGAUAGCCUAAAUACUGAAAAUGGGUCUGUGAAUACAGUUCAGAGAAACUUUAAGCAUGCUCAGAUUUAAGCACAGCAACGAUGAGCCAGAGUCUCCCCUGAAUCCAGUCUUGAUAAAAAUGAUGUGCCAGUAAGGCUGUUUUGGUCAAAUGUGUAUGCCACUGCAUGAAAACUAAG